CCCGAUAAGGGCACACCCGUCGCGAGGCGGGGCCGCAAAGCCACGGGUCAGACCUUUCGUCUGAUAGCCGGGUUGCCGAAG
rnacentral:ncRNA from 1 species